rnacentral:misc_RNA from 1 species
AACCUAGCACACCUGCGGUGUGUACCUGCGGAGGGAUCAUUACAAGUGACCCCGGUCUAACCACCGGGAUGUUCAUAACCCUUUGUUGUCCGACUCUGUUGCCUCCGGGGCGACCCUGCCUUCGGGCGGGGGCUCCGGGUGGACACUUCAAACUCUUGCGUAACUUUGCAGUCUGAGUAAACUUAAUUAAUAAAUUAAAACUUUCAACAAUGGAUCU